rnacentral:lncRNA from 1 species
AGCAGCAAGCACAAUUUAUCGUUCUUCUGUAUUGCUGAGGAACAGAAAAACUUAGCAACCAGACAAAAUUGCACAAGAUUCUGGUUUAUGGGGAAGCAGUGAAGUGCAAAGUUGAUGAGCAGUGAAGUGUAACUCAGGAAACUUCUACCUUGUGGAAAAUAUUAAUACACCCCAGGCAUCACUGAAUGAGACCAAGACACUCUCAAAGGGUUUUAACCAUUGAAAUGUCAAAAUUGAAGAUAUCAACAGCAUUUUGUUUUAAAGAAGAAAUGUGUUCAAGAAAACUGAAAAAUGCAAAGCUGAGGAAGCCCUCAGUGACCUGUAUAAAACAGAACUGACAUAUCUACAGUGAUGAUAAAGAAACUCAAAAAGAACUGUGAAUCUUUGUUUUUCCUGGACCAAACUAAAGUGAACUUCAUUCCUGUCUGAUCUUUCCCCAUCUUCAAAAGUGGAAGCACUGGAAGCUCCUUUGUUCAAGGUAAGUGAACCAGAUAUCUGCACUGAAUAUUUGUUUCUUUUAUAUUUUAAUUGAUACAGACAUAGAUGGUCUUCUUAUGAGAUUGCAUACAAAACAAUGUUCAAAAUAAGCAUAGAUUCAUAGUUAAGAUUCAGAGAAGGAACUGAAAGUACAUGACUGAUGUUUAAACUCUG